UUAAUUGAAACCAAAAAGAGGUAUAUCACUGUUAAUGAUAAAAUUGAGAAAAAUCUCCAAUUAAA
rnacentral:tRNA from 1 species